UACGGGGGGGGUAAGCGUUGUUCGGAAUUACUGGGCGUAAAGGGCUCGUAGGCGGCCAACUAAGUCAUACGUGAAAUCCCUCAGCUUAACUGGGGAACUGCGUGUGAUACUGGAUGGCUUGGAUUUGGGAGAGGGAUGCGGAAUUCCAGGUGUAGCGGUGAAAUGCGUAGAUAUCUGGAGGAACACCGGUGGCGAAGGCGGCAUCCUGGACCAUUACUGACGCUGAGGAGCGAAAGCCAGGGGAGCAAACGGG
rnacentral:rRNA from 1 species